CUCUCUUAGAGGAGUCCAGGGUUUCGGGGCAUACCUAUUGAUGACAGUGAGGAAGUGCUCCUCGGGGAGAAUUUCAUCCUCCUCCUGCUGUAACAGCAUCAUUAUGGAGCUGUCCUCCUCAUCCUCUUCCACCGCACGUUUCUGUUGAAAAAUAUUUCAUUAGACUCUUAUUUGUUUCAGGUUAUAAAAUCAUACAAGAGAGAGAUCUUGCGCUCAACAGAUUCACUACUCAAAACUGUGACUAAUAACUCGCAAAUUCUCUGACAUGAGAGAGUGAUCUUGCGCUCAACAGAUUCACUACUCAAAAAAUGCUUGUACGAGUGAGAUAGAAACACAAAGGAGGCGUGUAUCACAAUUGGCGAACACUGCCGAUACUCCCCAGAGCUUUAGCACGACGAUAACAUUUGAUUCAUUUUCUCACCUCACAACUCGGUCUCAUAAGCAAUUGUGCUCUCGUGAAGGAACCUUACCUGCAUCUAGAAAAUCAU